rnacentral:rRNA from 1 species
AUACGUAGGGGGCUAGCGUUAUCCGGAAUUACUGGGCGUAAAGGGUGCGUAGGUGGUUUCUUAAGUCAGCGGUGAAAGGCUACGGCUCAACCGUAGUAAGCUUUUGAAACUAAGAGACUUGAGUGCAGGAGAGGAGAGUAGAAUUCCUAGUGUAGCGGUGAAAUGCGUAGAUAUUAGGAGGAAUACCAGUUGCGAAGGCGGCUCUCUGGACUGUAACUGACACUGAGGCACGAAAGCGUGGGGAGCAAACAGGAUUAGAUACCCUGGUAGUCCACGCCGUAAACGAUGAGUACUAGCUGUCGGGGGUUACCCCCCUCGGUGGCGCAGCUAACGCAUUAAGUACUCCGCCUGGGAAGUACGCUCGCAAGAGUGAAACUCAAAUGAAUUGGCGGGG